rnacentral:misc_RNA from 1 species
UACGUAGGGUCCAAGCGUUGUUCGGAAUUACUGGGCGUAAAGGGCACGUAGGCGGCGAUACGGGUCAGAUGUGAAAGCCCCGGGCUCAACCUGGGAACUGCAUUUGAAACUGUAUGGCUCGAGGACGGAAGAGGAGAACGGAAUUCCCAGUGUAGAGGUGAAAUUCGUAGAUAUUGGGAAGAACACCAGUGGCGAAGGCGGUUCUCUGGUCCGUACCUGACGCUGAGGCGCGAAAGCGUGGGGAGCAAACAGG